AUGACUAACCCUAACCCUACCACUAAUAGCCUUUAUGAGUCUUGUGGUGAUGCAGGAAGAAUUCGUGAAGAAAUCAUCGAAAAUAGCGAAGAAAAUACGGCAGCAGAUCCAUAUUUUAUGUGCCCUGAGCUGGGGAGCAAAUCUCCCUUGGGAUCUGCCCAGGAGCUGCCGUGCUGCGAAUCCACCUUGGGAUCGGUGCCCCGCAGCGAUCCUGCCGCGACAGCUCCGACAGCUGCAGGUGGGCACGCUGAGCCGCCCGCGUCAGCCACGCGCCAGAAUCCGGAUGGCCGCGACGACUCUCCUCGUCCACACCAAUCACCGUCCAGCAGAUGGCAGGCUGGUGCUGGCCUGGGCCGUGCGUGGCAUGAGGCCCAACCAGUCGUCUACAAGCGACGGGCAGCGACUCGCCGGGCUGAGGCGGGGACAGAUCCGGACGAGGCCGGAUCGGGGGGAGAUCAGCCAGAUCCAGGCGUAGGAUCCUCUGCGCCGGGGCUCUCUGUAGCGGCUCCUGCUACUGCUCCACGCCGCACACGGCUACAGCAAGGCAAAAUUAAACCUGUUGAUUAUAAACAUAUUACAAAACAUGGGAUGAUUUGUUCAACAGGUGAACCAGGAGAACCUAACACUCUUGAAGAAGCACUUGGUGAUGCUAAUUGGAGAAAGGCAAUGAAUGAUGAAAUUGUGGCACUAAGGAAAAAUAAAACAUGGCACUUGAUCCCUUCAAGAAAAGGUAAAAAUCUUAUUGACUAUAAGUGGGUCUUUAGGAUAAAAAGAAAAGCUGAUGGAACCAUUGAUCGUUAUAAAGCCAGACUCGUUGCAAAGGGGUUCAAACAAAGGUAUGGUAUUGACUAUGAGGACACAUUUAGUCCAGUUGUUAAAGCUGCUACCAUACGCCUUGUCUUGUCCAUUGCUGUGUCUAGGGGAUGGAGUUUACGACAGCUAGACGUUGAGAACGCGUUCCUCCAUGGUGUUCUGGAAGAAGAGGUUUACAUGAAACAACCUCCUGGGUUUGUAAAUGCACAGGCGCCACUUCAUGUUUGCAAACUUGACAAGGCGUUGUAUGGACUGAAACAGGCCCCAAGAGCAUGGUAUUCUCGCCUCAGUAAAAAGAUGCAAACACUUGGUUUUGUUCCUUCAAGGUCCGACACUUCGUUAUUUAUCUAUAACAAGUCAAGAAUAUCCAUAUUUGUCCUUAUUUAUGUUGAUGAUAUAAUUGUAACAAGUUCAUCUGAUGAAGCAAUAACAGCACUGUUGAAGGAUUUAAGUGCAGAGUUUGCUUUAAAGGAUCUAGGAGAUCUACACUACUUUCUUGGUAUUGAGGUCAAGCAACACAAGGAUGGUCUACACCUCUCUCAAGAAAAAAAUGCAACAGACUUGUAA
rnacentral:rRNA from 1 species